rnacentral:rRNA from 1 species
GCUCGUAGGCGGUUUGUCGCGUCUGUCGUGAAAGUCCGGGGCUUAACCCCGGAUCUGCGGUGGGUACGGGCAGACUAGAGUGCAGUAGGGGAGACUGGAAUUCCUGGUGUAGCGGUGGAAUGCGCAGAUAUCAGGAGGAACACCGAUGGCGAAGGCAGGUCUCUGGGCUGUAACUGACGCUGAGGAGCGAAAGCAUGGGGAGCGAACAGGAUUAGAUACCCUGGUAGUCCAUGCCGUAAACGUUGGGCACUAGGUGUGGGGACCAUUCCACGGUUUCCGCGCCGCAGCUAACGCAUUAAGUGCCCCGCCUGGGGAGUACGGCCGCAAGGCUAAAACUCAAAGGAAUUGACGGGGGCCCGCACAAGCGGCGGAGCAUGCGGAUUAAUUCGAUGCAACGCGAAGAACCUUACCAAGGCUUGACAUGUUCUCGAUCGCCGUAGAGAUACGGUUUCCCCUUUGGGGCGGGUUCACAGGUGGUGCAUGGUUGUCGUCAGCUCGUGUCGUGAGAUGUUGGGUUAAGUCCCGCAACGAGCGCAACCCUCGUUCCAUGUUGCCAGCACGUAAUGGUGGGGACUCAUGGGAGACUGCCGGGG